UAUAUAUAUAUAUAUAUAUAUUGCAGAGGGGAGUAAAAAUCCGCCCCACACCGAAAAUGUAUGACAUGUCCUUUUGUGGGCCUGUUAAUAUGGUAAUAUCCGGGCCGAUUUUGAUACCCAGUCCGCCCCUGAUAUCUGGCAAUUCAUUAUGAAUACACUUCCACUUUAGUUUAUGACGUGGCUAGAGAUCACCCCCCCUCCCUAAUUUAAAAAAAAAUCUCCUUAGUCUUUCCACCUUUGGUUCGCGUACAACUUCCGAAGAUAGCAGGCCCCGCACAUUUCUAGGACCCGACGAAACGACAUAAACCAUAUAUACGGGUUUAGAUUACUUACAACUAUAUCGAUACUACUUGACACUAUGUCGAGGCUACUUGACAUUAUGUUCAGAUAACUUUAGACUAUGUCGAGAUUUCUUAACACUAUUUCGAGAUUACUUGACACUAUGUCAAGAUUACUUGACAUUAUGUUGAGACUACUUGACACUAUGUCGAGACUACUUGACACUAUGUCGAGAUUACUUGACACUUUGUCGAAAUUACUUGACACUAUGUCGAAAUUACUUGACACUAUGUUGAGGUUAAUUGACACAAUUUCCAGACUUAUUGCCACAAUGUUGAGACUUCUUGACACUAUGUCGAGAUUAUUUGACACUAAGUCUUACUUGACGAAUAUGUCGAGAUUUUUUGGCGACAUGUCGAGAUGACAGUUGACACCAUUUCAAGAUUACUUGACAGUAUGUCAAGAUUACUUGACACUAUGCCGUGAUUACUUGACACUAUGUCGAGACUACUUGACACUAUGUCGAGACUACUUGACACUAUGUCGAGACUACUUGACACUAUGUCGAGAUUACUUGACACAAUUUCCAGACUUCUUGACACAAUUUCAAGACCUCUUGACACAAUUUCAAGACUUAUUGACACAAUGUUGAGACUUCUUGACACCAUGUCGAGACUACGUGAUAGUAUGAAUUGCUUGAGUAGCUUCAACAACAAUCAAUAUAAAAUUGAAAUAAAAAUUUGUUUCUAAACCGUUACAUCAUAAAUUUUGUAUCCCUUCUUUAGACUUUUUAUUAGUUCGAUAUUUUUAUAGCGUAGCAGUGUGAACUUAUGUAUGUUAACAAAGAGUUUGCUCUAUAAAUAGAUCUCGCCCCCCCCCCACCCUUAUUUUGUAAUCACUCACUCCAUACUUUUGCAAAGCGCAAGACGAUUGUCUGCUGUAUUGUGUUUGGUGUUUCCAUAGCUUCACUCGCUGUUAGAUGAGUUGAUGUGUUCAUUAGGUAAUAUGACCGGGGUAUAAGCGACAUUUGUGAACCAUUCUAAAUUUAAAAUAGUUUCUUCAUCUAUGUUUAACAAGUAAUUUGGUAUUCCUUACAUAAACAUAGUAGGAGAAGAGGUGGUAAAUAUCAAACUGAAAGCCUAGAAUUUGAAUACUAAGCUGUGAGUGACCUCUCUUUGACUGGCACUGAAUGGAGACGAAGACUUUUGCUGUUAGCUUGCUGGCUCUGUACCUUGUGUGUUUGGUGUCUGGUGGAGAGGAAACGUUGCAACCAUCAAGAAGUAUCUACAGAAGACCUGGUCAGUUUCGUCUGUCCAGUUCGUCCCAGAAAACUUCGUUCACCGAAGAGGAGCAGAGUAAACUUUUGAACCUUCACAA
rnacentral:sRNA from 1 species